rnacentral:rRNA from 1 species
CUUAGAAGCAGCCACUCAUUAAAAGAGUGCGUAAUAGCUCACUGGUCGAGUGAUUCUGCGCCGAAAAUUUAACGGGGCUAAACUGUACACCGAAGCUUGGGAUACAUCUAAUGUAUGGUAGGAGAGCGUUGUAUACGGGGUGAAGUCAGAGCGGAAGCGCUGGUGGACUGUAUACAAGUGAGAAUGCCGGAAUGAGUAGCGAGAAUUAUGUGAGAAUCAUAAUGGCCGAAAGACUAAGGUUUUAGAAGGAAGGUUCGUCCGCUUCUAGUCAGCCGGGAGCUAAGGCGAGGCCGAAAGGCGUAGUCGAUGCACAUACGGUGGAGAUUCCGUAGCCGCCAUUAAUUUAAACAGAGGGACACUUUCAAGGGGCAUGACCCGGGCGUUGGUAGACCCGGGCGUAAGGGACCGAAGAUUAGUAGGGAAGCAUGCUUUAAGGAAGGCGAGAAAAGCUCUGUGUAUAGAAGAUGGCGCCCGUACCGCAAACCGACACAGGUAGUCAGGAAGAGAAUUCUAAGGCCAACGGGAGAAGGGUAGUUAAGGAACUCGGCAAAUUGACCCCGUAACUUCGGAAUAAGGGGUGCUCACGAGAGUGAGCCGCAGUGAAUAGGUCCAGGCGACUGUUUAUCAAAAACACAGCUCUCUGCUAAAUCGAAAGAUGACGUAUAGGGGGUGACACCUGCCCGGUGCUGGAAGGUUAAGAGGAAGGGUGCAAGCUCUGAAUUGAAGCCCCAGUAAACGGCGGCCGUAACUAUAACGGUCCUAAGGUAGCGAAAUUCCUUGUCGGGUAAGUUCCGACCCGCACGAAUGGUGUAACGAUCUGGACACUGUCUCAACUACCCACCCGGCGAAAUUGUAGUACCGGUGAAGAUGCCGGUUACCCGCGGCAAGACGGAAAGACCCCAUGGAGCUUUACUGUAACCUGAUAUUGGGUUUCGGUAUUUUAUGUACAGGAUAGGUGGGAGACUAUGAAACUAAGGCGCCAGCCUUAGCGGAGUCGCCCUUGGGAUACCACUCUUAAAGUACUGAAAUUCUAACCUGCGGCCGUGAAUCCGGUCGGGGGACAUUGUCAGGCGGGCAGUUUGACUGGGGCGGUCGCCUCCAAAAGAGUAACGGAGGCGCUCAAAGGUUCGCUCAGCAUGGUCGGAAACCAUGCCUUAGAGUGUAAACGCAAAAGCGAGCCUAACUGCGAGGCUGACGGGCCGAGCAGUAACGAAAGUUGGAGUUAGUGAUCCGGCGGUAUGUGAAUGGAAAUGCCGUCGCUCAACGGAUAAAAGCUACCCUGGGGAUAACAGGCUGAUCUCCCCCAAGAGUCCACAUCGACGGGGAGGUUUGGCACCUCGAUGUCGGCUCAUCGCAUCCUGGGGCUGUAUUCGGUCCCAAGGGUUUGGCUGUUCGCCAAUUAAAGCGGUACGCGAGCUGGGUUCAGAACGUCGUGAGACAGUUCGGUCCCUAUCUGUCGUGGGCGUAGGAUAUUUGAAGAGCGCUGUCCCUAGUACGAGAGGACCGGGAUGGACGCACCGCUGGCGCAUCGGUUGUCAUGCCAAUGGCACGGCCGAGCAACUAUGUGCGGUUUGGAUAAACGCUGAAAGCAUCUAAGCGUGAAGCCAUCUCUAAGAUAAGAUAUCCCAUAGCAUAAGCUAGUAAGACCCCUCAAAGACUAUGAGGUUGAUAGGCUGCGUGUGUAAGUACGGCGACGUAUUUAGCUUGGCAGUACUAAUAGGUCGAGGGCUUGACCU